GGGCCCGCACAAGCAGCGGAGCAUGUGGUUUAAUUCGAAGCAACGCGAAGAACCUUACCAGGGCUUGACAUCGCCUGAAAAGCGUGGAAACACGUAAUACUCUUCGGAGGCAGGUAGACAGGUGGUGCAUGGUUGUCGUCAGCUCGUGUCGUGAGAUGUUGGGUUAAGUCCCGCAACGAGCGCAACCCCUAUCAUUAGUUACCAACAGUAAGAUGGGGACUCUAAUGAGACUGCCGGGGAUAACUCGGAGGAAGGUGGGGACGACGUCAAAUCAUCAUGCCCCUUAUGUCCUGGGCUACACACGUGCUACAAUGGCCGCAAACAGAGGGAAGCGAAGCCGCAAGGUGAAGCAAAUCUCAAAAAGGCGGUCCCAGUUCGGAUUGUGGGCUGCAACCGCCACAUGAAGUCGGAGUUGCUAGUAAUCGCGAAUCAGAAUGUCG
rnacentral:rRNA from 1 species